GCGGGUCUCCUCUCAGUCAGGCUCCGAGCACCCUCCCACGCGCAGCUCUAUCGGCUCACGAUAACAUCUAAGUGCAGCUGCAGUGUGGACGGACUACGCGAAACGACCAGUUUUUUCUACAGGGCGUGAAGUGAUCAGCUGUUAGCGAAGCCUGCCAGCUGUUGCCAACUCACCACGCGGCGCACUCUCUCAUCACCGACUCGUGCUGCCGGUGCGGGCGCUACUUGUGGACAUCGGCAGAACCAAAGGCACAGAAUAAACUAUAGUCGCUGUCUCUCAAGGUACGGAAAAAUCGAGAAGGCGAGUUUGUUCCGUACGCUAUAAUACUAGUCAAAUUUUUUAAAUCAACAUUCCAAAUAAUUCCUUAAAGCAUUCUCCACGCAAGGAAAAAAUUCAUUUUACCCAUAUCGACACAGUCAUCUUCAUAAUUAACAGUUAAGCUUCACCAAAUUUUACCCUUUCAGCGUUCGACGUGCGUCGCAGCCGUCUCGGAGGGAGUUUAUCAUGUGCUUUGGUUAAUAGAGCUCACACGUCAUGAAAGAUAUCAUGGUAUGUUCGCUCUGAUAAAGUCAGAACACGACAGAUUGUAAUAUGAAGCUCCGUGACGUCAUUCGCUGUUACCUAACUGCGGCGUAUUGAAACAGUGAAAUUAAAGUAGUUGAAAAGCAAAUGAGUCAAGUGUGUGAACGUUGUUUGUUCAGGUGGUGGCGGCAUUGUGUCGGUAGCCUCGUCUGCCGCCGGUAGGUACCUACACGGAGACAGCACGCGGUCGCGGCGGACGCGGCCGUCGGCUCCCGGACAUGUGGGGUGUCGCGGCUGUCGAGCAGUAAGUGCGACGUGAGCUGGUCCCUGCAGAGGCCCGGCUGGUGGCUGGCGGCUGUUGUUAGGCGAAGUUGGUUUGUGACCGUCACUAACGGGCAGUGUUAAUACGGUUGCUCGUUUUGGCGAUCGCAAAAUGAACUCGCUUGACUAUAAUCUACGAUCUGUCUCCCCGCCCCCCGCCUCCCGCCGCGCCCGCUCCCCCGCUCGUGAGCCGCGGACCAUGACAUAGAGAAGGUGGAAGGUGCGAGCGCGACUGGCGACUGGAAGAAAUGGACGCUACUGGUCGAGUACCGUCGGAUCGGCACAGCUCGAAGAACUCAUUGUCAAGCGUGCAACAGUCGUUUAAGCUAUAACACAAUGUAAUAGACAUAUAAGUUACGGUAAAAGUAGAUAUUGCGGCAAAUGUACACAUUUUCCGGUAAAUGUGCACAUUUGCCUC